GACAGAGGGUGCAAACGUUGCUCGGAAUCACUGGGCGUAAAGGGCGUGUAGGCGGGAGAGAAAAGUCGGGCGUGAAAUCCCUAGGCUCAACCUAGGAACUGCACUCGAAACUUCUUUUCUUGAGUGCCGGAGAGGAAAGCGGAAUACCUGGUGUAGAGGUGAAAUUCGUAGAUAUCAGGUGGAACACCAGUGGCGAAGGCGGCUUUCUGGACGGUAACUGACGCUGAGACGCGAAAGCGUGGGGAGCAAACAGG
rnacentral:rRNA from 1 species